rnacentral:lncRNA from 1 species
CUUCAUCUGAGGGGUGAUCAGGUACCUUAGGUUAACAUCUAGAUUAUAAAGAAACUUUAAAGUAAGUUUAUCAUAUACCGGGAAAUCAGAGUGCACAAGGUAAUGCAUCCCCAAAUUAUUUAACAGAGAAUCCACAUCAGUUUUUAAACCUAAGAAAUCAAGGGUCUCGUCAUCGGAGUAAUAAAUUGGUAUUAUUCACCUCUGAGAAAGAUAUUGGUACUUGUUGGUGUGUUCUUAUUUUGUAAAGAUGAACCCAUGAGGAUUGAC